rnacentral:rRNA from 1 species
UACGGGGGGGGGUAAGCGUUGUUCGGAAUUACUGGGCGUAAAGGGCUCGUAGGCGGCCAACUAAGUCAGACGUGAAAUCCCUCAGCUUAACUGGGGAACUGCGUCUGAUACUGGAUGGCUUGGAUUUGGGAGAGGGAUGCGGAAUUCCAGGUGUAGCGGUGAAAUGCGUAGAUAUCUGGAGGAACACCGGUGGCGAAGGCGGCAUCCUGGACCAACAUUGACGCUGAGGCGCGAAAGCGUGGGGAGCAAACGGG